GGAAGCCCCCCGGGCCUGCGCGGAUGAGCAGCGCGUCCCCUGCUCGCCGUGCUCCUCCCCGGAGGCCGGUGGAGCCAGGCCCACAGCCCCCCAACCCCCGGACCCGGGAGCGGCCCGCCCCAGCAGCCUGUGGUCUUCCUCGGCCAGCUGGACGCCCGGCCGUGUGACCACUGAGCAUCGGGCAGGAAUAACAAUGCAAAGAAACGGAAGGUCACGGACCCGACGCGUUGCGGGUGACCGUUCUGAGUGGAAGGAGAACAGCUGUGGGAACAAACAGGUGGCCCGUGAGCCCCCGGGUCCCCGGGGCGAGAGGACCCGGGGCCGGCUGGGGCACCACCCUGCCGCACCGCUGCCUGGUCCUGCCUUUCCGCUGGCGGUAGGAGUCGGGGACCCCGAUUUUGUUUGCUAGAGCGCUGCAGGAACAGGGCCCCACACGGCCUCGCGGGAAAUUAAAUUUGGAAAUGAGGUACCAGGUUUGGCAGGGACCGCAGCGGAGCCCCCCCAGAGCCCCGCUGACAGUCCGUGGAGCCCACAUCACAGCUAUUAACCUUUUGCCCCAAAACACGUGGAGGAGAGCUGCCAGAAACCUGGGAGGAUUUGCCUAAGUGACAGUCACCGCGGGAGGCCAGCCCACCUUGCACAGCGAUUGCCAGAUCGAAACGAUGAGUGAGGGAAAAGGGAGUAUUAAUGGAACAGGUAACCACCGUGAAUUAAUAGAUACACAGGGCCCGGCGUUCAACAAAGAACGUGUGUGAGGACCCCCGGAAAACCUCAGCAGGUUCCUAAAAGGGGAAACGGAGGGGCGCCUGGGGGCUCAGUCAGUUAAGCGGCGGACUCCUGAUUUCGGUUCAGCUCAUGACGUCACAGUUCGUGAGUUCAAGCCCCGCGUGGGGCUCUGCGCAGACAGUCCGGAGCCUGCUUGGGGUUCUCUCUCUCUCCCUCUCCUUCUGCCCCUCCUCUGCUCGCUCUCUCUCUGUUUCAAAAUGAAUAAAUGAAUUUCUGAAAGGAGGGGGGGCCGGUGCAGGCCGUGCUCCCUGGCCCCGUGCAGGAACACAGAGCCAACAGCAGGUAAGGUCUCUCCAAGCGGACCCCCCCGCGGACCGCACCCCACCGGCCCCGCACGGCCCUGCUGCCUCGAGCGCAGGGCCAGGUCCUCUGUGUCCUGGAGGCUGAACGUGACAAAGCGUUCACAGACGCCCCUCACGGGCGGCGCUCCGGUCCCGUCAGCUGCCACGGCCAGGGCCCCACGCGGCUCACACGGUCUUCUGAGCUGAAGAGGAAAUGCAACAUGAAACGUCACAUCACAGACCCUUGGUCAGUUUGGGGACGAGGGCGCUGAUGCCAAAAACCCCGACGUGGCCCAGGAGACCGUGGAUCGCCGCGACUCUGACCCGGGUGACAGGGCGUGAGACUACGUGUUCCUUUAAGAGGCCGGACGCGGAAAAACACCCCAUCCAGAGCCAGGCCCCGGUCCCCCCUCCCCCCCACUGCCUGUGAGUGACACUUGUCACCGCGCAGCCUGGGUUCUCCUUGGGAACACGUGACUUCUAAAGCAUAGGGGAGCAGAACACACUGUGCAUGCGGGGAGGGAACGCCAGGCAUCCACAGCCCCAGCUGGACUCCACUGGCCACCGUCGCCUCCUCAAGGUCAGGGACACGGAGGGACAGCCGGCCGGUGCCCACAGCGCAGGGCUCCUUCCACAGGACGCUUCAAACACGUCCUCCCACGGCAAAGCGGACCCCAGUGCCCACCCUCCCGAGUCGGCCACCCCGCGUUGUCCAGAUGGGCCCCCCGCCCCGUCAGCUGUCUGUCCCUCGGAUGCACACCUCCGCCCAGUCUCUGAAAGCUCUCCAGCAGACAGACGGUUAACUAACUAGACUUCGGAAGUUGUUUACGGUUCUCUAUUUCUUUCCAGGAAAGCUGUAGACGCGGCCCACCGUACUCAGCGGCAGAAGGGGGUGCAUGCUGACGCCCGCGGCGUGAUGACCCUGAAACCCCAUGCGCAGGGGAAGAAGCCAGGCGGGAAGGGCCCCCGCCACGCGAUUCCACUCACGUGAAAUGUCCCGGGUGGGGGCGCCGGCGGAGAUGGAGGGGGCUCAGGGCUGCGGGCCCAUCAGCCGAGUGCACCACGAGUGCCUUCUAACAGAAGCCACUCCGGAACAUUCUUCCUGCCGCUCCCCUAAGUCCCCGUCCCCACCCCCAGGGGCAAACCUGAUUGUGCCCCAUCCCCAACUCCCCACGAGAGCAAUCACACAGCAGAGGCCUGUGCACGCGCCUUCCACGCAGGGUUUCUGGGGUCACGGCACGUGCUAGAGGUUCACACGGGCGGUCUGAAAGCAAGCGGCGGCUCAGACUUCCAGAUACUUCCAACAAAACCACAAUAUCAUGAUGGAAUCCUCACCAUCGUCACCUUGAGAGAGACAGUUCUUUUUUUCUUUUUUUUUUUUAACGUUUACUUAUUGUUGAGA